rnacentral:rRNA from 1 species
GAUGAACGCUGGCGGCGUGCCUAAUACAUGCAAGUCGAGCGCAGGAAGCUGACGGAACUCUUCGGAGGGAAGGCAGCGGAAUGAGUGGCGGACGGGUGAGUGACACGUAAGGAACCUGCCUCAAGGAUUGGGAUAACUCCGAGAAAUCGGAGCUAAUACCGGAUAGUUCAACGGACCGCAUGGUCCGCUGAUGAAAGGCGCUCCGGCGUCACCUUGAGAUGGCCUUGCGGUGCAUUAGCUAGUUGGUGGGGUAACGGCCCACCAAGGCGACGAUGCAUAGCCGACCUGGGAGGGUGAUCGGCCAAACUGGGACUGAGACACGGCCCAGACUCCUACGGGAGGCAGCAGUAGGGAAUCUUCCACAAUGGACGAAAGUCUGAUGGAGCAACGCCGCGUGAGUGAUGAAGGUUUUCGGAUCGUAAAACUCUGUUGUAAGGGAAGAACACGUACGAGAGGAAAUGCUCGUACCUUGACGGUACCUUACGAGAAAGCCACGGCUAACUACGUGCCAGCCGCCGCCGUAA